rnacentral:rRNA from 1 species
UACGAAGGGGGCUAGCGUUGCUCGGAAUCACUGGGCGUAAAGCGCACGUAGGCGGCCUCUUAAGUCGGUGGUGAAAUCCUGGAGCUCAACUCCAGAACUGCCUUCGAUACUGGGAGUCUCGAGUUCGGGGGAGGUGAGUGGAACUGCGAGUGUAGAGGUGAAAUUCGUAGAUAUUCGCAAGAACACCAGUGGCGAAGGCGGCUCACUGGCCCGAUACUGACGCUGAGGUGCGAAAGCGUGGGGAGCAAACAGG